CCCCGAUCACAAUGACAGUAGAAAAUACAGCAGAGCCAGAAAUUGUUCAGGAAACCGAAUUUUGAGUUUUCAGAAGUCCAAAUCCUACUCAAUCACUACCAAAACAAUUCCAAGAGCCACGAAAGAGUUUCUCACUUAAGGAAUUCCAGUUGCAAUUAAAUUCAACAUCAAAAGAGGAAUCACAAGCCAAAUUAAAAAGGGAUUUCAAAACCCUAGAAGGAUGGAAUUCUUCAGCUAUAAAAGAGCAACCUCCAAACCAGCAAGGGGCAUCNNNNN
rnacentral:lncRNA from 1 species